UCAGUGGCCGAGUGGAUAACGCGAUGGCGUUUGAAGUGAAAAGUACUGGGUUCGAGUCCCAGAGUGA
rnacentral:tRNA from 1 species